rnacentral:rRNA from 1 species
AGAGUUUGAUCCUGGCUCAGAGCGAACGCUGGCGGCAGGCCUAACACAUGCAAGUCGAACGCCCCUUUCGGGGGGAGUGGCAGACGGGUGAGUAACGCGUGGGAACGUGCCCUUCAGUUCGGAAUAACCCAGGGAAACUUGGGCUAAUACCGGAUACGCCCUUUGGGGAAAGAUUGAUCGCUGAAGGAUCGGCCCGCGUCUGAUUAGCUAGUUGGUGGGGUGAUGGCUCACCAAGGCGACGAUCAGUAGCUGGUCUGAGAGGAUGAUCAGCCACACUGGGACUGAGACACGGCCCAGACUCCUACGGGAGGCAGCAGUGGGGAAUAUUGGACAAUGGGCGCAAGCCUGAUCCAGCCAUGCCGCGUGAGUGAUGAAGGCCCUAGGGUUGUAAAGCUCUUUCGCACGCGACGAUAGUGACGGUAGCGUGAGAAGAAGCCCCGGCUAACUUCGUGCCAGCAGCCGCGGUAAUACGAAGGGGGCUAGCGUUGCUCGGAAUCACUGGGCGUAAAGGGCGCGUAGGCGGCCGAUCAAGUCGGGGGUGAAAGCCUGUGGCUCAACCACAGAAUGGCCUUCGAUACUGGUUGGCUCGAGACCGGAAGAGGUGAGUGGAACUGCGAGUGUAGAGGUGAAAUUCGUAGAUAUUCGCAAGAACACCAGUGGCGAAGGCGGCUCACUGGUCCGGUUCUGACGCUGAGGCGCGAAAGCGUGGGGAGCAAACAGGAUUAGAUACCCUAGUAGUCC